AUCCAACUGAAGAGUCUAAAACAGAACGAAAUGCGCCUUAUCCUGGAU
rnacentral:hammerhead_ribozyme from 1 species